GGAAUAUUGGACAAUGGGCGAAAGCCUGAUCCAGCCAUGCCGCGUGAGUGAUGAAGGCCCUAGGGUUGUAAAGCUCUUUCACCGGUGAAGAUAAUGACGGUAACCGGAGAAGAAGCCCCGGCUACCUUCGUGCCAGCAGCCGCGGUAAUACGAAGGGGGCUAGCGUUGUUCGGAUUUACUGGGCGUAAAGCGCACGUAGGCGGAUUGGUCAGUUAGGGGUGAAAUCCCGGAGCUCAACUCCGGAACUGCCUUUAAUACUGCCAGUCUAGAGUCCGGAAGAGGUGAGUGGAACUCCUAGUGUAGAGGUGGAAUUCGUAGAUAUUAGGAAGAACACCAGUGGCGAAGGCGGCUCACUGGUCCGGUACUGACGCUGAGGUGCGAAAGCGUGGGGAGCAAAC
rnacentral:rRNA from 1 species